AGCGCACUGUGUGACCACCCUCUGCGCAGCCUCCCCAGAUGCAGAGACACUUGGGCAUUCCAGAGCCAUCUUCCCUCUGGGCCAGCUGGGGUUGUAAGGUUUCCCCUGUCAGGUUUCCCUGGGGCCACCUGUUGUCCUGACUGGGGGCUCACAAUGCCUCACUUCAACUUCACAUCUGCGGCCUAAAAACAAGAGGUUCAUGGAUUUGAGCCCUGAUCCUUGCUUUUCCAACGACCCACACCCAUUUUUCACCAUCCACCCAUCCCACCAGGUAGCAGAUUGGCCCGCACCAUGCACAAGGGUUUAAUUUGCACUGGGCUGCCUGGGGAGUAGCAAGUCACAGAGGGGCCUGUAUGGAGUGGCUGAAUCCCAGAGCCGGCAGAGUGUACCUCAUGUUAAGCAGUGAGUACAGUGGUCACCUUCAGAAGUGAGGACAGGACCUUCUAUCUUGCAAGGUGGACAGGGGCGUAUGUCUUCCACAACUCUAUCCCUGACUCAACACCAUCACUUCUUUACAGGGAAAAAAAAAAAAGGACGUAGCCUAGAGAGGAGCUGGCUCACCUAAAGUUUGCUUCUUCCUUCCAUUCGUUCCACAGUGUUUAUUGAGAUUCUGUCCCCAGGGCCCAACUCUGCGAGCAGGAAGCUUGCCUGUAUGGAGAAAGGCCAGAGUGACUCUGAUGGGCACUCUCAGUCCCCAGGCCAGAAGAGACACCAGCAUGGGACAAUCACAGCCGCCCAGAACAAGUCUUCAGCAGGGCUCCGGGCCAUGGCCCUCCACAGUUUGUACAGCUCCUUUACAUGCAUCCUUGAAGCAGACAGGGAUAUGGCCAGGAAACCAAGACUCCGUGAGAGGCAGUACCUCGGCCAAAGGCUAAG
rnacentral:lncRNA from 1 species